rnacentral:rRNA from 1 species
CCUACGGGGGGCUGCAGUGGGGAAUAUUGCACAAUGGGGGAAACCCUGAUGCAGCGACGCCGCGUGAGUGAAGAAGUAUUUCGGUACGUAAAGCUCUAUCAGCAGGGAAGAAAAAAAGUCCUUUGGACUUUGGACGGUACCUGACUAAGAAGCCCCGGCUAACUACGUGCCAGCAGCCGCGGUAAUACGUAGGGGGCAAGCGUUAUCCGGAUUUCAUGGGUGUAAAGGGAGCGUAGACGGCGAUGCAAGCCAGGAGUGAAAGCCCGGGGCCCAACCCCGGGACUGCUCUUGGAACUGCGUGGCUGGAGUGCAGGAGGGGCAGGCGGAAUUCCUGGUGUAGCGGUGAAAUGCGUAGAUAUCAGGAGGAACACCGGUGGCGAAGGCGGCCUGCUGGACUGCAACUGACGUUGAGGCCCGAAAGCGUGGGGAGCAAACAGGAUUAGAUACCCGAGUAGUC